GAUGAACGCUGGCGGCGUGCCUAAUACAUGCAAGUCGAACGCAUAGCGAAAGGUGCUUGCACCUUUCAAGUGCGUGGCGAACGGGUGAGUAACACGUGGACAACCUGCCUCAAGGCUGGGGAUAACAUUUGGAAACAGAUGCUAAUACCGAAUAAAACUUAGUGUCGCAUGACACAAAGUUAAAAGGCGCUUCGGCGUCACCUAGAGAUGGAUCCGCGGUGCAUUAGUUAGUUGGUGGGGUAAAGGCCUACCAAGACAAUGAUGCAUAGCCGAGUUGAGAGCUGGUUGGCCCCAUUUGGAACUGAGCCCCGGCCCAACUCCUUAGGGAAGGCUGCGGAAGGGAACCUCCACAAUGGGGGGAAACCCUACUGAGCAACGCCGCGUGUGUGAUGAAGGCUUUCGGGUCGUAAAGCACUGUUGUAUGGGAAGAACAGCUAGAAUAGGAAAUGAUUUUAGUUUGACGGUACCAUACCAGAAAGGGACGGCUAAAUACGUG
rnacentral:rRNA from 1 species